rnacentral:rRNA from 1 species
GGGUUUUUGAUGGAGGGUUUGAUCCUGGCUCAGGACGAACGCUGGCGGCGUGCUUAACACAUGCAAGUCGAACGGUAAGGCUCCAGCUUGCUGGGGUACACGAGUGGCGAACGGGUGAGUAACACGUGGGUGACCUGCCCUGCACUUCGGGAUAAGCCUGGGAAACUGGGUCUAAUACCGGAUAGGACCGCACCGUGAGGGUGUGGUGGAAAGUUUUUUCGGUGUGGGAUGGGCCCGCGGCCUAUCAGCUUGUUGGUGGGGUAAUGGCCUACCAAGGCGGCGACGGGUAGCCGGCCUGAGAGGGUGGACGGCCACAUUGGGACUGAGACACGGCCCAGACUCCUACGGGAGGCAGCAGUGGGGAAUAUUGCACAAUGGGCGGAAGCCUGAUGCAGCGACGCCGCGUGGGGGAUGACGGCCUUCGGGUUGUAAACUCCUUUCACCAUCGACGAAGGGUUUCUGACGGUAGAUGGAGAAGAAGCACCGGCUAACUACGUGCCAGCAGCCGCGGUAAUACGUAGGGUGCGAGCGUUGUCCGGAAUUACUGGGCGUAAAGAGCUCGUAGGUGGUUUGUCGCGUCGUCUGUGAAAUUCCGGGGCUUAACUCCGGGCGUGCAGGCGAUACGGGCAUAACUUGAGUACUGUAGGGGAGACUGGAAUUCCUGGUGUAGCGGUGAAAUGCGCAGAUAUCAGGAGGAACACCGGUGGCGAAGGCGGGUCUCUGGGCAGUAACUGACGCUGAGGAGCGAAAGCAUGGGGAGCGAACAGGAUUAGAUACCCUGGUAGUCCAUGCCGUAAACGGUGGGCGCUAGGUGUGGGUUUCCUUCCAC